CCUACGGGAGGCAGCAGUGAGGAAUAUUGGUCAAUGGGCGCGAGCCUGAACCAGCCAAGUAGCGUGAAGGAUGACUGCCCUACGGGUUGUAAACUUCUUUUAUAAAGGAAUAAAGUGAGGCACGUGUGCCUUUUUGUAUGUACUUUAUGAAUAAGGAUCGGCUAACUCCGUGCCAGCAGCCGCGGUAAUACGGAGGAUCCGGGCGUUAUCCGGAUUUAUUGGGUUUAAAGGGAGCGUAGUUGGGAUGUUAAGUGGGUUGUGAAAGUCUGAGGCUCAACCGUAACAUUGCAGUUGAUACUGGCAGUCUUGAGUGCAGUUGAGGUAGGCGGAAUUCGUGGUGUAGCGGUGAAAUGCUUAGAUAUCACGAAGAACUCCGAUUGCGAAGGCAGCUUACGAAACUGCUACUGACACUGAUGCUCGAAAGUGUGGGUAUCAAACAGGAUUAGAUACCCGGGUAGUC
rnacentral:rRNA from 1 species